GCCAGAUCAGAGGCAUAAACUUGAAAUAGAAGGUGAUAAAAUCAUCAGAGUACUGGGUGGCACCAGCAAUGGUAUUGGAUCAUCAUCUGAAUGUUGAGUUUACUGGGUUUUUUUUGGCAUGUGUCUCUUUAAGGGACAAAAAAUUCCAAAGCUUGAGGGAUUCUUCUUUUUGCAUUAGGUAUUCAAAAGCUUUCAGAAAUGGUAUAUUUGAAAGUUCUUUUUCUGAAGUGUUAUGAUUUUUUUUCCCUGCCCUUUGAGCUUAAUAAGGGGCGAAGCCAUGGGACUCAAUGACUUUAAAAUAUAUUGCUCUAUUGGGAUAAUGAGAUAGCAACCACAAAUACAUGUCUACUGGGUAAGAGUCAGGAUUUCUUUUUUUUAAAGAAAUGCUGUUAGAUCCUCUUGCCAACCUUAUACAAACAUCUAAUGUAGGAUGUGUACAUGAAACAUCUUGAAUGAAGUAAUAAUCUCUAGUUAAUAAUUAAAUCUCCAGAAGCUCUUGUAAUUUGUGCAUGUUAGAGUGUUUAAUCUCUUUACAUGAGCCUAAUUAAAGAGCAAUAUUCAGAACUCAGGUUUCAUGAAGGGAAUCUCCUAGUCCUUUAUAAAGACUGAUUUAGCAUACCACAGGGUAUUAUUAACACACAAAAAAAUCAAUAUAUCGUACUAAAAAGCAUGCUGGAUUUGUGAUUACAGGUAAAUUUUUUUAGGCUACCAAUUGUCAAACUAUUGUUCAGAGAUGCAUUAAUGAGAGUCACAAGUGCUGGAGUGUCAGAUUUCAGCUGGUGACACUUCACUAGUUUUAGUCAAUACAGACCUUAUCACAGUAAUGCAUACAUCAUGUUUAUGGAAAUAUAGUUACAAAAAAUCAAUACUAAAUAGCAGGUCUUUAUUAUAAGUGAUGGUGGACUUAAAUUAGCCUGUGGGAAUUGGCUACCUCCCACCUCCACAGCCUCUUCAAAGUUUAUGCUUUAAUCAUUUCUCCUUCUCUGUAAGAAUGCACAUGCUCAUGUCUCAACACUCAAGUCCAAGACUUGAUAAGUAAUGAAAGAAGUUUCAAAAAUUAAAUGGAGGGAGUAUUGCUACCUUACUCUGAUACAUCUGGUGGUGUGCCAAAAAUGCUGGGGGUGUAAAAUAUUAAGAAAACAAGCAGAUGUUGGAAUACAAACUGAUGUUGUCUUUCCCCAGAUAAUGUUAUCCUACCUUUUUCAAAUAGAACGUCUAUGUAAAGAGGAUUGUGUAAAUGAUUAUCUUUGGCAUCUGGUCUGAAAUGCUUCACGUUUGAUUUUUCACAUAGGCUGUCGGUGGAAGAUCAUUUCCUAUUUCAGAGGUUGCUGGCCUUAUUUGCAGUAUUCUUGUGUUAAAAAAUAAAAAAAGUCCCAACAACAACAAACUGAAGUUUUCAAAUAUUCACAAAUUGCUAAUGAAUAUCAGAAUGACAUAGAUGUAUGGGCUAGCACAAGAAAUGUGGCCAAUGUUGAUACAGUGUUCUUUUAGACCUCUUCUGCAGUCUCAGCACUUUAUGGAAAACUGGCUGAAAGCCUCUCCUCUUUUCAAUCUUUGGCAAGUCUGCCUUUACUGAUAGAAAGAGAUGUGUGAAAGUUCAGGAUAUCAACCCAGCCAUUAAUUGCGCUGCUUGUUACUUGGCUGUUUGUGCCUUGAGCAACUGUUGCAGAACAUGAAAGUUGUGAGGAAUUUCUCUGAAAACCUUAGGGUAUUAUUUUGCCCACUGCCUGCCCAAUCCAGUCCUUUCAAUUAGAAAAAAAUUAAAUCAUCCUUUGGAUUGAUGAGGGGAAAACAAGAAGGAGUUAAGGUGAACAAGUAGAAUUAAUGCAAGGUAAAGAAGACACAGUUACAGAAUUCUGUACCUUUAAGUGCUUUUUGCUGGAUUUUUAUUUCUUGGAUCUUAGCUCCCUAAAUAUGAAACAGGCAAGUAAAAGGCUAAAGACCAAAUGGAGAUAUUUAAAAAAGGAACACUUGUUACUUUUAAUUCUCUCGCAAUUGUUGUUAGAAAGGGGGUUUUAUAUUCUAGCAUUUUGGAUUGUUUCUUGAAUAUUUUGAGGCUCAAGAGUGGGAGUCAAAGUACUUAAAUAUAAGGCAUCUUUAAUUUUCUGUGAUCUGUAGUUUUCCACGUUGAAAGAACUGUAUAUACAGUUCUGGGAAACUGAAAAAAAAAAUCUAUUUCUACGAGUGGAGAGUGCUAUGGAAAAUGUAAGCCUUGAAUGGGAGAUAUGCUAUGGAAAAAGUGUACUUUGCCUUCAGAAAGACAGGUACUCUUGAGUCUAGUAGGUGGGUAGGCAAGCAGCUUUCUGAAAUUAAACUUCACAACAUUAAGAAAAAACACUCAGUUUUAAGUUGAAUGAUAAACACUGUGUUCUGCUGUUCUUAAAUUGUGUAUUCUGCUUUAAUCUUUAUGAGCAUACAUGUACUUUUCUGUUCUCUAACAUUAGCUUGUGCCAAGAUCUUCUUAAUCAAAACCAGUAGAGAAUUAUUUUAAUUAUUAAUCAGCAGCCAAUAUUCACGGAUAUUUUGUUAAAUAUUAUUUUCUUACUUUGGUUUCAAGAGAGUUUUCACAUAUUAGCUUAGGAUAUUAGUUUUCUGUGAUAGCAUUAAUCUUGUUUGUGAAUUCUCACCUGGGUUCGAAACUGAAAUGGCAGUUCUUAAGAGAAAUAGAAAUCCUGCACAGAAUUUUGCAGGACCAUGAAUUCCUUCAUUAAUUUACAUCAGCUUAACUUUUCAACAUGUACUUAAAACUACAGGGUAGUUUUGAACACGAGUAGUCUGAACAAAACACAGUUCCAGGGGUUAGAGCUCUUCAUGUACUUGUCAAAAUGUUUCUGGUCUUACUGGGAGUAAAACAUGCACUAGCAGGCUGAUUUCCACUUUGUGGUGUGAGUCUGGAAACAGAUGUGGGCUGGAAUCAUGGCAUUUGAGGGAACCCAACAAAUCUCACACUGACUUUAUUGGCUUAGGCUCACGGCCAGGCUGCAACUUUUCUGUCUAAAAUGUGUUCAGUAGCUGGGAAAUCUGCAGUCUCUCUGUACGUGCAAGACAGUAGAGAUUACUUCAUAUAUUCUUUCGGGAAUCUGGGCUGUUAUGGUAUCUAACCUCCCCCCCCUUCUCUAUGGCUGGGGAUGGCAGGGGGAAGGCAUCUCCAUGAUCAGCAACAUAGCAAAGGCUUAUGUGUAGGAAAAGAAAGAGUUGCCUUGAACGCAUACCAUGCUGGUAAUGUCAGUCACUGAAAUGGUCCUGUUAUGUCAGAGGUUCAGAAAGAGCUUAGAGUGACAUGGGUGGUGUAUUUUAAAACACUUAUGCACAUGAGGAGAGUUACCAUGAGUGCAAAGGAAGCACUAAAUAGGACAAUGCAAUGUGCAAAAAUCAGAACAGCUUAGUUUCAUAUGGAGCUGCCCUCAGUGUAGACGCUCACAGUAUUUGUAGUUGCCCUUGGGUCCAGGGGAGUUGAAUAGUUCAGUUUUGCUUCAGGGGUUCCCAGUGACCAUUUAGAUUAAUUCAGAUGGCAUUUAAUAUUACUUACUAUUUAAUAUUACAAGUAAUAUUAAUAUUACUUGUUUUAACAAGUAAUAUUAAAACCUGUGGCUGGCUCUGUUGCCCUCCCAGCUCAGCCUCAUCCUCAUUUUGCAGUCAGCUGUCCUCUAAACAUCUUUAGCUUUCUGGGGCUGUAAGGCACAGUCUGCUCUGGGGGUUGCUGAACUUCCUUGCAUGAAUUAAUGUAGCUUUUUACCUUUGGCAACAGCAGAGGGAGCCGCCAGAGGUCUUGCAUAGUAUUUCAAAUGUCAGCUGCCAGUAUCGAGCAGCUGCCAGCACUGCAUCUCUGGCAGGGGGAGUGUUAGUGUGGACACAGGGUGAGUCAGGCUGGGCAGGAACUUGUGUACACAGUACCCUGAGACUGGUAAAAAUCUCCCAGCAAGUUGUCUCCUGUGUUGCUUGGGUCAUAUAUGAGGAAAUACUACUGGCUUUUGACUGAAUCAGAAUCAUGGGUGUUUUGCAUUCAGAGCUGAAAAGUGCUUUUAUUCUUUCAGGACUUGCUCCUGGUCUUGGAUGUCAAUGGCUCAAUAGGGAUUAAGCUUCAGAAGCAGAUAUUGGAUCCAUAUCAUCCUGUGUUUUUUGCACGGAAAUGGCCAGGUCUCUUCAUGGUAUUUUGCUGAACUUUGAAAUAUGUGUGCACUGGGAAUAACACUGUCACUUUGGAACUUGGCAAGCAAGGCAGGAUUUUCAGCUAAUCUUUGGAUGUUAGGAGCCAGUGCCCAGGAUUUGCUGUAUCAAAUACAUGGAACCAGAAUGGGGACUUAAUGGCAGGCAGGAAAGAGGAAUGUCACUUUUUAAUCAGUUCACUUCCUGUCAUGGCCACGCAUGUCAAGGAAGAAGUAUGAUAUUCAAAUGAUUUGUGAGAAGAGAACAGAAAGUGUCUCUGUCUCCAGGUCUCAGAUAGUUCAGAGAAAAAGCUAGGAAAGCUAGAACAGCUUUUUAAGGGAAUGGGGGAGGGAUAGGGGUGAAGGUAGGUUAGAAAAUAAAAUUCUGAAACUGCCACUGCCAGGUCUGGUUCAAUAUGCUGCAUCACUUAUCUAGUUCAGACCUUGUUUAUUUGUAUUGAUUGUAAAAUCAGCGUCCUGUAUGUAUAAUAACUGAUUUCCAAAAAAAGGUUUGCUCUUUUUGGUACAAAUGCCCUGUGGGUCUAUGAUGAUAGCUGCUGUCCCAAUUUACAAGUGACAUGUCUCCAGUACGUAUUUUUAACUGUUAGUCUCACAGUUGAACCCCACAGCAAUACUGCCAAGUGCAUCAUUGCAGGUAAAAAUGGUUGUGUUGUGCCUGCAAUGGCAUCUGUCAUUGUUGUUGGCUGUGCCUGCAAUGCAAGUGCUUAGCUGUAAGGUUAAUGGUUGUCAGAAUUGUAAGAUUCUUACUUUUUUUUUUUUAAUUGUUAAAAAUUGUAAGCUUUAAGUACUGUGAAGCUGUAAGUGUUCCGGAUUUGAGAAGUUCUACUGUAGUAUGAGUAAGUGUAAUAUACAAUAAAUGUUUGUUCAUUGUCUUUUGUAUUAUAAGGACAAGGAGUCCUGCUUGAAGAAGUGGGGGUAGUAAAGGUCUCCUGCUGAGAUAAGAAACCGUAAAAUGCCUGAAAUUCCUUUACUUAAUGUAACAAGAUAGGGCCCUUAAACCGGUAAGGGGGAGGGAGUUUUCUCCCCUUCUCCCCCCUUGCAUCCUAGUUCCAUCUUUUGUUUAAAGUCACUGUUGCAAAGCUCCUGUAACCAUUCCUGAUAAGCUGCUGAACCAGCAUGAUAAUGUUCUGCCUUCCUGCUUCAUGCUGGGUCAACAUGACCUAGUGAGGAAAGGGAGUCGAGCCACAAUGCAGAGGAAGACUACGGCCUUCAUCUUCACGACCACCAGAGAGACUGGGACGACCCCCUAGCAACAGUGUGUGCAGCUACAGAACAUACCUGGAUGUGCUGCGUAAUCCCGGAAUUACUAAGAUAUAAAAAGGGACCCUGGCGGGGGUGAGGUACGCGCCAUUGGCGGAGCCGACUCCCCGGCCACCCAGCGCUGUUUUGCUUGCUGUUUUCAUAGAAUCAUAGAAUCAUAGAAUAU